GGAGAGCUGGCCGAGUUGGCUGAAGGCGCUCGCCUGCUAAGCGAGUAUAGGGUUAGAUAGCCCUAUCUGGGGUUCGAAUCCCCAGCUCUCCGCCA
rnacentral:tRNA from 1 species